GACCCAGUAGUGUAAUGGUUAACACACUUGCUCAGUGUAUUGCUUCGAUCCAAUUUCUUAUGUCGGUGAUCCCUGUUCAAAUCAGGGCUGAGUCA